rnacentral:rRNA from 1 species
CUUGGUCAUUUAGAUGAAGUAAAAGUCGUAACAAGGUUUCCGUAGGKGAACCUGCGGAAGGAUCACUAGCGAAUGUUASMGCAUCUACUUGUAGAGCGUGACCUCCACUUUCUAACUCUGUGCAUUUAUUGGCGGAAGGACUUGAGCAAUCGAGUUUCCUUCUGCGGCUCAUUUSAAAACACNAGUUAAAGUAUGUAACGAAAUAUCGAAACAAAAAAAACUUUCAACAACGGCAUCUCUUGGCUUGCUCAUCGAUGAAGAACGCAGCGAAAUGUGAUAAGUAAUGUGAAUUGCAGAAUUCAGUGAAUCAUCGAAUCUUUGAACGCACCUUGGGCUCUCUGGUAUUCCGGAGAGCAUGUCUGUUUGAGUGUCAUGAACUCUUCAACCCACCACGUUUCYUGUAGACUGAURGGUGUUUGGUUUCUGAGCGUUGCUGGUCUUCGGAUCUACGCUCGUUCGUAAUAUAUUAGCAUCUCUAAUUCGCAACUCGGAAUGACUCAGUGUAAUAGACUAUUCGCWGAGGACACGCUCUUGUAGCGUGGCCGAAUGAGAUCUCAGUAGAAGCUUCCAACUACUUUAACCAACUUUAGAUUAGACCUACCAUCAGGCAUGAUUACCCGCUGAACUUAAACGAAUCAAUAAGCGGAGGAACCCCCCCAACCCUGUCC